rnacentral:misc_RNA from 1 species
AAUAGUACGCAGUUACUACAGCGCCAUAAAUUUUGUUGACAACGAGUCCGGUGUUCAGUUUUGAUCCGACCGUGACUCGGGAAGUAGUGUUUCGGUUGAUCUACAUAUUUUUAAAAAGUGCUUGACAAUCGGUAGCUAGUGAAAAAACUAUAUCAGUGUAAAUUUUGUGAAUUCCGUAACUCGGAGAUUUUUCCAUAAUCACUGAUUCAUACUUGACAGACGUCGAAGGUGCCUGGUUCUUCCAGAUGCGGUUCAACUCUGAAUUACUAUCCCUACGUUGUGCUGAAAAAUUCGUAUAAGGUCUUCCGUCUUGGAUACAACGGCAGUUCAGCUUCAGCGACAGAAGCGGCGACUUCGGGAGCGACAUCAGUAGCAACGCAGUUUCCUCAGAGCGACGAUGGAGAGAGGCAACGGUCGCAGCUCCUCCAACAUCAUUGCCCGGACUCCCCCUGUUCAUCAGGGGGAGUCCACCGUCCCCUGGGA